GAGGAGGGAAGAUAUUUCUUACAAGUACCCUGAGAAAAUGAGUAAAUUUUAGGUCCAGCAAGAGGAAGCUGCAACGAAAAGGGGAACUGCUGAUGAAUAAGGCACAGUCACUUUCCUCAAGCUACUUGCAAUAAAAUGCGGUUGACUGACACAUAAAAAGGCAAUUUAAUAUGAGUGUGAUAGGGACUGGCGCAUGUGUUUUAUCUCGGAUGGAAG